rnacentral:rRNA from 2 species
GGCGUUGACUAUGAUGCGGCCGAGCGGCUGAUUAGAAGCUUGCUUCUAUGACGUUAGCGGCGGACGGGUGAGUAACACGUGGGCAACCUGCCUGUAAGACUGGGAUAACUUCGGGAAACCGAAGCUAAUACCGGAUAGGAUCUUCUCCUUCAUGGGAGAUGAUUGAAAGAUGGUUUCGGCUAUCACUUACAGAUGGGCCCGCGGUGCAUUAGCUAGUUGGUGAGGUAACGGCUCACCAAGGCAACGAUGCAUAGCCGACCUGAGAGGGUGAUCGGCCACACUGGGACUGAGACACGGCCCAGACUCCUACGGGAGGCAGCAGUAGGGAAUCUUCCGCAAUGGACGAAAGUCUGACGGAGCAACGCCGCGUGAGUGAUGAAGGCUUUCGGGUCGUAAAACUCUGUUGUUAGGGAAGAACAAGUACGAGAGUAACUGCUCGUACCUUGACGGUACCUAACCAGAAAGCCACGGCUAACUACGUGCCAGCAGCCGCGGUAAUACGUAGGUGGCAAGCGUUAUCCGGAAUUAUUGGGCGUAAAGCGCGCGCAGGCGGUUUCUUAAGUCUGAUGUGAAAGCCCACGGCUCAACCGUGGAGGGUCAUUGGAAACUGGGGAACUUGAGUGCAGAAGAGAAAAGCGGAAUUCCACGUGUAGCGGUGAAAUGCGUAGAGAUGUGGAGGAACACCAGUGGCGAAGGCGGCUUUUUGGUCUGUAACUGACGCUGAGGCGCGAAAGCGUGGGGAGCAAACAGGAUUAGAUACCCUGGUAGUCCACGCCGUAAACGAUGAGUGCUAAGUGUUAGAGGGUUUCCGCCCUUUAGUGCUGCAGCUAACGCAUUAAGCACUCCGCCUGGGGAGUACGGUCGCAAGACUGAAACUCAAAGGAAUUGACGGGGGCCCGCACAGCGGUGGAGCAUGUGGGUUUAAUUCGAAGCACGCGAAGACCUUACCAGGUCUUGACAUCCUCUGACAACUCUAGAGAUAGAGCGUUCCCCUUCCGGGGGACAG